rnacentral:lncRNA from 1 species
AAAGAAUUCAUCUUUUCCGAGUUCUGUCCUAGAAAUGAUGCCUCAGAAAAGAAAAAUUCCUUUGUCUGAAGGUAUUUAACGAAAGGCUAUUAAAAAUUUUAAACUCUCUAUAUAGAAAAUGUUUCAGAUAUAGCAAUAUUUUUGAAAAAAUUUAAGUGAAUGAAUACUAAAUAGAAAGCAUUUUAAAUAAACUUUUUCUGAGCAACAACAGUCUAAAAAAAGGAUUAAUUUCCAAAGUAAGAUUUUGAAAAAUAAAUUGUCUAGAAAAUGAUCUAAAUCAAGAGACUCUUAAGACAAGUAUAGCAGUUACUGACUCUUAUUAUUACCUUUAAGGCUGGACGGAAGGGCGGUGCCAAUGGUGCGAUCUCAAAGGCCCCUCGAACCUGCAUGAUUCAACUCUUGUUUGAGACUGUUUAUUAUUAUUAUUAUUAUAAAAAGGGUCCGUACAACAACUUUGUACCGUGUCCCGCUUUUUCUCGAGCAGGCCCUGACAGGAAUUAUUACGACCAAAAUUCAAUUCGCUGUAACUUUGGUCCUAAGUUGAAUAUUCUUAAUCUGACAAUAUAUUCGAGAAAGUAUUCAAUAAGAUACCGAAUGCCAAAUUUGAAGUUUCAAAUCUAAUUAAUUACAGAAUAAAACUGUUUAGAAAUUACAAACAUUUACAAAAAAGCGAAAUUUUUCUUUUCUUAUUCUUCUCUUCUCCACACCGACAGUUUUACAGGUCGCAUCGUUUAACUGAUAUCGAUGAAAUUUGGAAUAUAGGUAUUUUUUACAUUACUUGAG